ACAGCAGUCGCCACGGUAAUACGUAGGUCCCGAGCGUUGUCCGGAUUUAUUGGGCGUAAAGCGAGCGCAGGCGGUUAGAUAAGUCUGAAGUUAAAGGCUGUGGCUUAACCAUAGUACGCUUUGGAAACUGUUUAACUUGAGUGCAGAAGGGGAGAGUGGAAUUCCAUGUGUAGCGGUGAAAUGCGUAGAUAUAUGGAGGAACACCGGUGGCGAAAGCGGCUCUCUGGUCUGUAACUGACGCUGAGGCUCGAAAGCGUGGGGAGCAAACAGGAUUAGAUACCCCCGUAGUCCCUGUCUCUUAUACA
rnacentral:rRNA from 1 species